UACGUAGGGUGCAAGCGUUGCCCGGAUUUAUUGGGCGUAAAGAGCGCGUAGGCGGUCCGGUAAGUCCGCUCUGAAAGUCCGGGGCUCAACCCCGGGAGGCGGGCGGAUACUGUCGGGCUAGAGUCCGGAAGAGGCGAGUGGAAUUCCUGGUGUAGCGGUGAAAUGCGCAGAUAUCAGGAGGAACACCAAUGGCGAAGGCAGCUCGCUGGGACGGUACUGACGCUGAGGCACGAAGGCCAGGGGAGCAAACGGGG
rnacentral:rRNA from 1 species